rnacentral:rRNA from 1 species
CCUACGGGAGGCAGCAGUGAGGAAUAUUGGUCAAUGGGCGCUAGCCUGAACCAGCCAAGUAGCGUGAAGGAUGACUGCCCUAUGGGUUGUAAACUUCUUUUAUAUGGGAAUAAAGUGCAGUAUGUAUACUGCUUUGCAUGUACCUUAUGAAUAAGGAUCGGCUAACUCCGUUCCAGCAGCCGCGGUAAUACGGAGGAUUCGAGCGUUAUCCGGAUUUAUUGGGUUUAAAGGGAGCGUAGGCGGGUUGUUAAGUCAGUUGUGAAAGUUUGCGGCUCAACCGUAAAAUUGCAGUUGAUACUGGCAUCCUUGAGUACAGUAGAGGUAGGCGGAAUUCGUGGUGUAGCGGUGAAAUGCUUAGAUAUCACGAAGAACUCCGAUUGCGAAGGCAGCCUGCUGGACUGUAACUGACGCUGAUGCUCGAAAGUGUGGGUAGCAAACAGGAUUAGAUACCCCUGUAGUC